UUAGUUCACUUAAGGUGGAAAAAAAUAAACAAACAAUCGCAUCAAAAAGUGGGCUAAGUACAUGAAUAGACAGUUAUUAAAAGAAUACCUACAAAUGUUCAACAAACAUGAAAAAAUGCUCAACAUCAUCAAAUGU